rnacentral:rRNA from 1 species
UACGUAGGGGGCAAGCGUUAUCCGGAUUUACUGGGUGUAAAGGGAGCGUAGACGGAUAAGCAAGUCUGAUGUGAAAAUCCGGGGCCCAACCCCGGAAUUGCAUUGGAAACUGCAUAUCUAGAGUGUCGGAGAGGCAAGUGGAAUUCCUGGUGUAGCGGUGAAAUGCGUAGAUAUUAGGAGGAACACCAGUGGCGUAGGCGGCUUGCUGGACGAAAACUGACGUUGAGGCUCGAAAGCGUGGGGAGCAAACAGG